GGGAAUGUGGCUUAGUGGUAGAGUGCUUGCCUAGCAUGCAGGAAGCCCUGGGUUCCAUUCCUC
rnacentral:tRNA from 1 species